UACGAAGGGGGCUAGCGUUGCUCGGAAUUACUGGGCGUAAAGCGCACGUAGGCGGCUUCUUAAGUCGGGGGUGAAAUCCUGGAGCUCAACUCCAGAACUGCCUUCGAUACUGGGAAGCUCGAGUUCGGGAGAGGUGAGUGGAACUGCGAGUGUAGAGGUGAAAUUCGUAGAUAUUCGCAAGAACACCAGUGGCGAAGGCGGCUUACUGGUCCGGAUCUGACGCUGAGGCGCGAAAGCGUGGGGAGCAAACAGG
rnacentral:rRNA from 1 species